rnacentral:rRNA from 1 species
UAGAAACGUUCCGGCGCUGUAGGAUGUGGCUGCGGCCGAUUAGGUAGAUGGUGGGGUAACGGCCCACCAUGCCGAUAAUCGGUACGGGUUGUGAGAGCAAGAACCCGGAGACGGUAUCUGAGACAAGAUACCGGGCCCUACGGGGCGCAGCAGGCGCGAAACCUUUACACUGCACGACAGUGCGAUAGGGGGACUCCAAGUGUGAGGGCAUAUAGCCCUCGCUUUUCUGUACCGUAAGGUGGUACAGGAACAAGGACUGGGCAAGACCGGUGCCAGCCGCCGCGGUAAUACCGGCAGUCCAAGUGAUGGCCGAUAUUAUUGGGCCUAAAGCGUCCGUAGCUACUUUCC